AGUGAACGCUGGCGGUAGGCCUAACACAUGCAAGUCGAACGGCAGCACAGAGGAGCUUGCUCCUUGGGUGGCGAGUGGCGGACGGGUGAGGAAUACAUCGGAAUCUACUCUGUCGUGGGGGAUAACGUAGGGAAACUUACGCUAAUACCGCAUACGACCUACGGGUGAAAGCAGGGGACCUUCGGGCCUUGCGCGAUUGAAUGAGCCGAUGUCGGAUUAGCUAGUUGGCGGGGUAAAGGCCCACCAAGGCGACGAUCCGUAGCUGGUCUGAGAGGAUGAUCAGCCACACUGGAACUGAGGCACGGUCCAGACUCCUACGGGAGGCAGCAGUGGGGAAUAUUGGACAAUGGGCGCAAGCCUGAUCCAGCCAUACCGCGUGGGUGAAGAAGGCCUUCGGGUUGUAAAGCCCUUUUGUUGGGGAAGAAAUCCAGCUGGCUAAUACCCGGUUGGGAUGACGGUACCCAAAGAAUAAGCAUCGGCUAACUUCGUGCCAGCAGCCGCAGUAA
rnacentral:rRNA from 1 species